AGCAGCCGCGGUAAUUCCGGCUCCAAUAGCGUAUAUUAAAGUUGUUGCAGUUAAAAAGCUCGUAGUUGAACUUCGGGGUUUACUCAUUGGUCAGGCUUAAUUGUCUGUACUGGUGAGAUGAAUCUCUACCUUCUGAGGAACUUUCAUGCCAUUUAUUUGGUGUGGUUGGAAAUCAGGACUGUUACUUUGAAAAAAUUAGAGUGUUUAAAGCAGGCUAACGUCUGAAUACAUUAGCAUGGAAUAAUGAAAUAGGACGGAUUGAUUCUAUUUCGUUGGUUUCUAGGGUCACCGUAAUGAUUAAUAGGGAUAGUUGGGGGCGAUUAGUAUUCAAUUGUCAGAGGUGAAAUUCUUGGAUUUAUUGAAGACUAACUACUGCGAAAGCAUUUGCCAGGGAUGUUUUCAUUAAUCAAGAACGAAAGUUAGGGGAUCGAAGACGAUCAGAUACCGUCGUAGUCUUAACCAUAAACUAUGCCGACUAGGGAUCGGAUGAUGUUAAUUUUAUAACGACUCAUUCGGCACC
rnacentral:misc_RNA from 1 species